rnacentral:lncRNA from 1 species
CCGAUUCCUGCCAAAGAACUUGAUUCGUCGAUCUUGAUUAUUUCUUCCUAUCAGAACUCCUUGAAGUUGAUGCCUUCUCGUCACUCCAAAGUCUCUCAACUAUCCUCUGAAUUUCGUCCAUAAAGGUCUGUUUUCGAAUGAGGAGAAACAGGCUUUAAAUAGGUCUUCUGACAAUUCCUUUUAGUUGUAGAAUGUGAAAUUGGUGCUAUGGCCAUAGCGCCAACUUUGGCAUUUGAUAGCGCCGACUUUGACUCUAGAUGAUCAGAAAGGGAUGUCAAUAUUGGCUCUAUGAAUGGUCAAUAUUGGUGCUAUGUGUAUAGCGCCAACUUUGACUGUCUAUAGCUCCAAUCUUGACAGCGUGUUGUCCUUGUGAUUUCUUCCCUUCUCAAUUGUCCCAACUCGUUCAUGCAUGCCCAUGUUACUUUGAAUAGUGUCCCGAUAUAGUCAUGUACCUGAAAUUUUACAAAAACAUUCCAAAAUAACAACAAAAGGACCUCGAACGGGUCUGAAACACUAAAUCGAGAUACAAGCUAUAAAUGUGCAAAACACCCUAGAACUUCUACCCAAAGCUAUACAUAUAUACAUGAAAUGUCACUUAAAUAAGGGCGAUGAACACAACAAAUCGAGUGUCAUCAAAUACCCCUACACUUAAGCUUUGC